CUUCAUCUUCAAUGUGGAGGGGUAACCCAAGCGAGGACUCAGAAUCGAGCAGUCGGCAGGCAAACUAAAUUUGUGGCGCUAAUGCUGCUGCAGUCAACACACUGCGCCUCUCAGAUGGCAUCACAUAGAACUCGGCUGUCGUAUCGCCGAGAAACUGCCACAUUUCAGUUCCCUGAAAUUUAUUAAGGAACAAGGAAUGAACAGGAAGCUAAGCAGUGGUGUACUCUGCUGUGUAAUGCUGCAGGUAUCGGUGUGCACGCAGUAACUUUGCCUGGUGGAGAGCAUCACUUGAGGGUGUAAUGAAGGCUGAGGUUGAGAGCUCGUGACCAGAAGAUCAGAGAACGUAUCUACAUCUCGCAUUCAGCUUCACUCUUCCGUAGGAGGACUGCCUUCAGAGGCAACCCUACUCAGAUCACAUGCUCCAGAAGGAAACUGCACCACUGAACGUUGAGCAAGACCACUGCUUUCGGGUGUCAUGUUGGGGACACCGGCCGCUAGAAUGAGCAGCGCGAGCGGUUCUCUUGCCCACUUCUACAAACUGGAGAUACUGGAUCGAGUUCAAUAAAACUGUCACGCGAAAUGAGGGCGUCCAUCCUUCUGUGGUCCCAGUUUGGCUGCGGUUGAAUGUCCCUCCUGACUUUAGAGAGUGCCACCUCCUCUCAACCUUCAGCUACAAAGCCCUGCAAUCUGGAAGUGACGCUUCUCGGCCAUAGUUUUCUGUCUGCAUUUCCAAGGUAGAGGUCUUGCGAGUGGCUGAUCCUCCAUCCUAGGAGUCUUACCUACUGCCCUAUGAUCAAGAAAGUGAAACGAAACGGAUGUCUUAUGCGUGGGAGCAACAGUAAAAGAGA